CAAUUAUCCGUAGCACGAUAUCGUAACGUAAAUUGGAUUGAAGUUGUAAUCAAUUCUCAAUCGAGUCGCCGAAUGAUUAAGAGGCGCUCUCGAACACUCGGGAUUUUAAUGCAGUCCGAGUAUCCCAUUUUUAUCACUUUCGCUUGACGACAAGUGCGUCUCGCAAUACACGCGUGCACGUCCGAAGACUGAAAACCGCCGACUUGGUAAUGCACAACGUUCCACACUGACGUGUACUGACGUUUACGCAAAUAACGCGAUAAAGCCGUGUCUAUCGCGAAUUUAACGGCUCUCGCGGCGGGAUCCCGUUUACUUAACUCUAUCAACGAGUACAUCUCGCGGAUGCAAAAACGCGAUAAAACCGGCGGUAGAGACCACACGGCGCUGCCUACAAAGUAGACCCAAUGUUUUACAGCAACACGCGGCCACAGCCUCGGCUGUUCGGGCUACACUGAAAGAUAAUUGUCAGCUAUCAGCUGACCCUUGUCGUCCGCAGUCCCGCCGCUGACGCCUCUCUCUCGUCGAUGCAACGAUGCAUCCUCCUGCGCACACAAGCUCGGCCGGCCGUCAUCGCGCCGGACGCACAAAAGGUACUUCGUCGGCUAUCGUUUGCACGAUAAUCUCAACGCGUGGAACUCGACAGAUACGUGGCGUUACAUGUGGCAUUAAUAACGUUCCCUGUCUAGCCAAUAAUGUACACGACGCAGCCGGUCGCGUCGUCGAUGCACUCCGACGCAGCUGACAAUUCGCUCGUAUUUUGUGCCCCACCAUUGUUUCAUUGCAUGAGCGGUUUUCAGAGAUGGAUCACUCUCGGCGAUUCUUCAAUCAGAAGGUCCUCGUUAGAUUAUUAGGAAAGAAAAAAUGUGGGGCUAUUUUUGGAUGGACCACGUUCCGAGAUGUGUGUCACUGGGGAGAUAUUCCGCUCGCAGAAAUUGAUCAGAGAUUGGAUUAAGAUAAUUAGUCGUACACACGAGCGACACUCUCAAUCCCGUUAAUGCGUCGCGUUCUCAGAAGCCAUUAAAACGACGCAUCAAUAUAACGAUCAAUUAAACGCGGCCGCGUCCACCACAAUCGCGGUGCAGCGAAAUGGUUAAUUAUCAUAUCAAUUAUCGAAAGAGCCAUAGCGGCGGGGAGGGAGAAGAGACCACUGGCUCGUUAAUGCCAGUACUGUCAGUGCAACGUGCUACAAUGUCCGAUAAAAGCGCGCUCAAUACCAACAAUAAUGCGGACACACGUAUUUACGGUUCCGCAGUGGUGCACCGUGGCGUUUUCGGUAAUGCCGGCCCAUGUAUCGUCCCGGCUCGGUUUUCUCGUCGGCGAACAAGAACCGGGCAGAUAAAAAGAAAGAGAACGUUUCUCUAUCUGACGUGAAGAAGCCCAAGUAGCUACCCAACUUUCCGCGGCAGAAGUGGUGCGGAGAGACAGCAAAAACGGAUUCUAUCCACCGGCGUUUCAAUUUUCGCUACCAUCGUACUGUGAAAAUAGUUUAUCCUGGAAAUGAACGAGAUGAGUCGUUGAUUUAACAAAAUUGUCUUAACGUCCCGGAAUUAAUUUGACUCCGCGUGUAGCGUGCCGCACGAGAAAAAAAGAAAAAACACACCAAAGUGCGUUCGACUUUAAUUGUGUCUCAACUUCGUUCAAAAUUUAUGCAUUAUAGAUAUUCACACGAUUAGUAGAAAAUUUUACGAGGAAGUGUAUAAGAUUCGUUCGUUUUCGUCCGCUAAACUAUUUUCGCUUAGACCGACAUUUAAUCUCAGGGCCAUUGUUCAAUCUUCGUUGCGUCAUGUUGCGUUACUCGACGCAAGACUGAACAUAUCGUACAUAUUAAAUUUCUAUUUGUUCUUGGAAGAAGUAUCGAGACUUUUCUCGCGACAAGUACGGUAUCGUGGAUAUUGUCGGUGCCGAUGGCGGAAACGUUGCCUCCAACCCUGCAGCGCUGUUAUAUCUAUCUACUCCACUAGCCACCUCGUCGACUUUCCGCUCGCAAGAACACACCAUUCUCCGCGAUCUGCUGAAGUAUCGUAAAUUCGAUCCGAGGUAAACGAUGCCAAUGGGAGCAGUCGAUAUUGUGUCGCGCGCGUUAUGCAGAUACCGAUGUAGAAACGAGGACGAGGAGGGCGAAGGAGAACUAAAUUCCGUUUCUUGCUGCGCAAGGGUGCAUCGUGUCGCUGCUAAUUGGCUGGUGGAAAAUGGCGAGUAGACAGCCUGUGAACAAAGUUUUCCCUAUCGGCCGACGGCUCGAUUAAAGCUUCUUCUUCACGUGAAUUCGUUAUCGAACUCAAAUACUGUAAUACCGAGACGGACAAACGCAACUACUUUUAGCGACAUAAAAACACGAAGAUAAAGAGCACCGUGUAUUCAAUAUUUUUGUAUCCUUAUGAGAAGAAUCAGAAUUCCAUACAUUUCCUCCUUGUAACUUUUAUUUUUUCCGCCCCCCAAGUGACAGAGAUUAAAUCAUAAAAAAAGAACGAUAAACAGACGGCGGAUUUCGAGACGGUGGAGCAUUUCGCGGUAAUAAAACAAAAAUUGUCCUUACCGGUUGGUUAAAAAUGUAGAAACGAGGAGACGUAGUGCGAGAGGGGUAGCACACCCGCGUGGCGCGACUCGAAGCGGCGAGAGGGCAGGGUAGAUGAGAGAGGCGGUAUUGUCUCGGCGAUUAUUUAUGGCGGAUUUUAAGCCCCUAAGUGUGGCCGCUGUAAUAAUUAACAAAAGGCAUUAUGCCGCGCACGGAGAAUGAACCGCCCACAUCCGCCCUCCUACUCGCUCGCGUUUAAGGGUGCGAAGGUGCGCGCAACUCGCGCGCUCCGCUCGUCCGUUCGCCAGGAGAGAUAACACCUGAGACCAACGCCGCUCGAUUGCCCGGGGCUCAUUUACUAAUGAGCACGGCCCUAUAACGUCCGCGAGAAUAAUGUGACUUCUUUCCCGGCUGCAGCCGGGUGUACAACGACGCGCGCGAUUUACGGACGCGAUCCGUUCCUCGAAAAAGCUGAGGAAAAUGCACUAACGCGCACGCUGGCGAACCAAACGAGCGUAUGGAGUCACCUGUUUCGAAGAUAUCGUUCUACCAAUGGCUUUGGAUUUUAUUUUGCCUUCCUGAAGCCUCCCUAUCGAGGACGAAGAAGAAUGAAGACGUUCGUGAUGAAUUGUUAUUGGAGUGUGUCGGGUGUAAGUAUUGGCAAAUCGCAAGCUGGUAAGUCGAAUGGUAAAUGUAAUCUAGCAUUUUAAUUGGGACUGCUAUCUGACUUUAGUCUGCCUCAACGCGAGGCAUUGUUACCACAUUGCACGUGAUUACUAAUUGAUAACAAAAAUAAAAGUUUAAUUAGAUCAUUAGCGGUUAUUGAAAUUGCAGCACGAUAAACAAAAUUGCAAAACGACGGACGCUGGCUUGUUGAAUUAAAAUUAAACGGACAGCACAAAGGACCGUCAAAAAUAAUUAGAUGAAAAUCAGAUAGGAACUUUGCAUGGCUCGUUGGUGCCCGGGUAUUCGGGUAUUCGUGUAACGGUUGUAUCUCGGCCGGAACAUCCCCUGAAUCGCUCCACCAUUACCGUCACUACCACCACUAUCAACAUCACCCCAUUUCGAGUUUGCUCCCUCAUCGUUGUUCGACUCGUCAUGAGAGAGGAACGUAAGCCGGAUGAGUCAGGGGUGUAUACCGCACAAGGUAUUCACUCACCCUCUUUCUCUUUCUGUCUCACGUUCCCUUGCCCUUUCUCUCUCUCUCUCUCUCUCUCCCUCUUCUUUUUUCGUAUAAUCUUUCUCGACGUCGAGCAGACAUGCACGGCGCUCGUAAAGUUCCGAGGGAGCACUCGACGACAAAAGGCCGGGUCCGGGUGUUUCGGAGGACGGACGUGUGUGAGAAUUAAGAGUGUGCGGCGGAUGACGGAAACGCGGCACGUGAUACGCGAUAAGCGCGGAUAAAUUUCCGCGGCGUCACUCUUCGUGGGAGAUUCCGCAAACGCAUAGCUCGUGCGAGCUGGUGCAAAUAUUGGCCGAUGAAUUACCGGCAAAUAUGUAGCAGCCAGCAGAAGGAAUCGAUAAUGUAAUUAGGGCUGUUGAUAGGACUUUAAUGAAUCGCCGGAUUCUAAAAUGGAAGCUUGAUGAAAGUCACAUCCGGAAACACGAGAAUUUUUUUUUCGCUUUUAAAAGCGUACUAUGGCAAAAGAAGAUGAGUCCAUCUUUUGAUUCAGGCAUGACAUCUCGCACAAGCAUCUCGGAGAGUGCACGCGAGUUCCCUUCAAUCGAGAUAAUACCGUGCACAUCGUAUAGCACGCGCACGUCAAUUAAUAUCACUUUACAUUAGAUAACGUCUGGUAAGUAAUCUCGAUCUAACGACCGCUCCAACUCCGUCAUAGCUAUUGGCCGUUGGUGACAGCCAUUGGAGAACGAUGAACCCGAGCAGCGUGACUUACUCUCGAUAAAGAUACUCAGCAAGUAACAACUUGAACGCGCGACACUGUCGAUUUUUCUUAUCGACAAUAAACGAUAAGCCUGCUGCGCGAUUAUCUUGACAAAGAGUGAAGAGACGCUUCCGCGAUUACGCAAUUUGUAUCUUCCUCCUUCUCCACCCCCCGCUUUCUCCUUUCCCUCCCAGCCUCCCUCGGUACAUCGCGAAUAGGGCCAGGGCAGACGUAUAGGGACUUAAUGGUUGAAAUUUAGAGCGGUUUAAGUGGCAUAUGGUGGCAUUUUAAUUGACAGUCUGGUUAGGUCAUCGCGGCCUGAAUCGUCGUAACACAUGGACGAACGGAUGGACGAGCAGACGAGAGCAGGGGGACUGGUGAGGAGGAGGAGGAGGAAGAGGAGGAGAGGCUAAGCACCACGUGGGGAACACUUCAUGAGAACCGGAGCGCACCAGGGCCGUGCAAGUCGUAUAGAAAAAAACGUCCCUGUCACCGUGCCCUCUUUACUCACUCCAAGUCCGGCCUCCGAUUCAGUAUUCUCAGUCUAAACUGCGAAUGCGAAACCGAAUUAUACGCAGACCUCGCAAAAUUCCUCCCGCCAGUUCGGCUCGCGCGAAUUUGGAAAAGAAGACGUAAUUUGUUGGUAACGUCAAGUUUCACGAAAGUAUUUAUUCAAACAGAUUAUUUAUCAAUUUAUUUACAGAUAUUAUUUUCGAACUAAUUGUCUUUUACGGUGUCAGUACAGUGAAACCUGCGAAACGCGACCGUCGAGAGGGAAAUUCACGCAGAGUCGAGCGCGCGUUUCCUUGUUAUAAAUAAUAUUAUAUCAGCGUGUUCUUUGCUCUCUGCUAAUUAAUGCGCAGUAAUAUCACUCACCGGCUACACCCGUGCACGCCCAGAAAUUCGGCAGAUAGUCCGGGCGAUCCGCUCGCAGAGCCGGGCACUCGCGUAUUCGAUCGCGAGACGCUGGCGUCACGGCUUAUCUGUCGUCACGUAGAUACUUAUAUCACGGUUUAUCUCGGCGAUGGAAGAGAGAAAGAGAAAGAAUGAUCCCCGUCACGCGAUAAGAAACGAACGGAUGCACGGGCUGAGUGCAACUGAAUGGAGCUGCGGCUCGGUUUUCAUGACGCUCUUCGGGCAUCGGAGCCGCCCGAACGCGGUCGGCGACGGACGAGAACGAAAACGAACGAAACGCGGAGAUCUGAGCGUUAUACGCGGACGUGCUCUUCUUGGCGCAUGUUCAUCUUGCGGAGCGGACAGCCUCCAAAUUUGAUCGUGUGCUAAUCGGCAGUUAUAAGAAAGAGAGAGGGGGAGAGGAAGAAUCAGACGAACAAAGAAGAGCAAAGCUUUCUCUAGGUUGAGAGGAGCGAAGAAGAAAAGAAGUUGAAAUGGGAAACCAGGACAACGUGGCGCGCGUCAGGAUCGCAGGCGGAUACGAAGAAAUCCUCGGAAAGUGUCGACUGAAAGAGUGGCUGUUUUAGAAACGCCACGAAGUGCCAGGAGUCGUCGACAUGGCACAAUGAGAGAGAAAGAGAUCCUCAGACGACAGACAAUUUCGCUGCCGAGUUUACGGAAUCCGGCAAAGAAUCCGCUGCACUGCACCGAUCAAAUGUACAAGCGUGAUCGAGUUCAUCACAACUUCUCCAAGAAACUAUGGAAUCAUCUGACAAAGAAGAUUGAUGGUAAGAAUUCCUCGAAACUACUACAACUUAUUUUCAUUGAUCUGACCUUUACCUGAGAUGUAAAGUGCACGUUAUAUUCCACAUGAGGAAUUAUUUUAUUUCAAGAUUUGUCACUUGAAUUUAAAAAAAUAAAAAAACCAUUUAUAUUG